ensembl:lncRNA
UAGCAGGCCUGAUGCACAGAGGGGAAAUGGGCCUGCCUCCCCCACCCUGACUCACUACAGGUCCAUGGCACCCAGCCAGAGCCCACAACUUGUUCACAGCUUUUUGGAAGUUCUACAUUCUUCCUCUCUGCUCUGCCAGCUGAGACAAUUCCUCUCUCCUGCAUCUGGUCUCUGGACUGGGCCCAGACCACCCUACUACCAUUAGCACUGCAAGAUAGAUGAGGUGGAGAGACAGAGCUGGGACCCUGAGCCCACCCUGGCAUUCUCUUUGCUCAACAUCAGGCUCCUUUCCCCUCAUCCCUGCAGGAACUCUGGCUGCCUGGCAGCCUGUGGGGCACAGGAUUUGGAAGGCAUAAAGCUCUUCGGAGGUGAGCCAGGGCAACCUUCUUGGGGUAGAAGAGGAGAAACAGAGGCCUGGAUGUAGGCAAGAGAUCUAUUCCAGAUCACAUUCAGCAGACUGAAAUCCAGGACAACCUGUCCAAGGGUAGCACCAUCGCAGAUGAGCUGGGCCCUCCCACAUCAAUCAUUAAUCAAGAAAAUGCCCUAUAGACUUGCCUUCAGGCCAUUCUGAUGGAGACAUUUUCUCAAUCAAGAAUUCUCUUUCCAGCUUUCUAAAUGAGCAAUCUGCAUCAAGCCAGAGGAACGAGGAAGAAAGUGAGGUGCACCCUGACCUCAGAUGUCUGUCUUCCGUCAUCAGAGCAGUUUCUUGCUCUUCCGGACUCGGAUGGCCGUGUUAAACCCCACAUGUGGUUCUGUGGUUGCCCACAAAGCUUAAAAAUAGCCAACAGGAACAGGGGAAUCCCCACUGGCCUGCCAACAAUGGCUCCAGGGUCCUCCUCAUCCAUACGCAAGAUGUGUGCUGCCUCUUGAAGCUUUUCUGUCAGUGUGGCCCUGACCAACAUACCCUGUGAAGAAGAUGGCCUGCCUGGAGGAGAGUAGCAUGGCGCACAGUCUGGUGAGCCUUGGGAUCUGCAGAGCACCCUUUCAUACCUCUUGCCGUAUGCCAGGUGCCACUUUGAGUGAUCUUCAUGCAUCACCUCAUGUAAUUCCCACAACCCCCCGCUCCCUACCACCCCCCACGUCAUUUCUUCUUUGUGGAGAAGGAAACUAGGGUGCUGGCCCAAGCAGCAGAGCUGUGGAUACAGUGCACACUAGAAGACUCAGAUGGGGGUUCAGAUCCCCAAAUGCCACCCUAUUGUAAGAAACAGACAAGCAAGGCUGGGCGUUCAAGGAACCUGACAUACCCAGAGCCUCCAAGGGCUUCCCAUCACCAUCAAGGCUUUCAUGCCUAUGGAGAAAUGAGAAGUUGAGGACAUAGGAGGGCCUUGAUUCCACCCUCUGGGAAAAUCUUUGGAAGAUAUGACCCUUGGAAUAUCAGGAGGGUUUGAUAGAUAGAUUGAAUAGAGAGAAGAGUGAAUCCUGGGCAGAGGGAGUUGGAAGGUGAAAAUCCAGAGGUCUGGCUCCUGUGAGGAAUAGUGCCAGUUGGAGGGGCUGGAGAACAACAUCUCUCAGGACUGCAAGAGCCAGCAAGAUAGUAAGGGCCGUCAUGCUUAUGCGGAAAAAUUAGAUUUUACCCCAAGUGCAAUGAACUAUGGAAGAGUUUUGAAGAGAGGAGGACUGUGAUUAGUCACAUGUCCAAAAGAAGAUAUUGUGAAGAGAACGCCAGUGUAGCACUAUAGCCCAAGAGACCAGGGGAGGACCAGCCCCAGAAGUACUUAGGACCAGCCAUAUCCUGCAGCUCGUAAAAAAGGAGAAAGCCGACCGGCCUGACCCCUACCAAGAGCCCUCAUCCAGUGGCUGAUGGAAGCAGAGGCAGACACCCACAGAUAUACACUGAACUGAACUCUGGAACAUAGUUGCAGAGAGGAAGAAAUGAAGAUCAAAGGGGUCAGUACCAGGCUGGUGAAACCCACAGAAACAGCUGGCCAGAACAAGGAGGAGCACAUGGACCACAGACUGCUGUCUGGGAGGCCAGCACAGGACUGAUCCAGACCCCUGAACAUGGAUGUCAAUGAGGAGGCCUCCACACUCUAGGGGGCCCCUGGUAAUGGAUUAGUAUUUUUCCCUGGUGUAAGAAGGGACUAAGCCCAUCCCACUUGAAGGGAUGUACUCUUGGCUUGGACACGUGGGGGAGGGCCUCGGCCCAGCCCAGGAUGAUGUGGUGGACUUUGGGGAGCCCCAGUUGACAUCCCCACCCUGCCUGGG